rnacentral:rRNA from 1 species
AAAAACAUGGCUGUGUGGUUUAUUAGUAUAGAGUCUAGCCUGCCCACUGAGUUUUUAAAGGGCUGCGGUAAUUUGACCGUGCAAAGGUAGCAUAAUCAAUAGUCUUUUAAUUGAAGGCUUGAAUGAACGGCUGGAUAAAAGAGAAGCUGUCUUUUUUUCAAGUUAGAAUUUGACUUUUAAGUGAAAAGGCUUAAAUUAACUAAGGGGACGAUAAGACCCUAUAAAACUUAAUAAAAGGUUAAUUUUAACUAUGAAUUGUAUUUAAAAGUUGUGAAAUUCUCUUUUUAUUUUGUUGGGGCGACAUUGAUAUAAGCUGUAACUGUCUUGAUAAUAAAAUAGUUAUCACUAUAAGCUGAUCCUUUUUUAGGGAUAAUAAGUAUAAGUUACUUUAGGGAUAACAGCGUAAUUUUUUCUGAGAGUUCUUAUCGAAGAAAGUAGUUGCGACCUCGAUGUUGAAUUAAAAUUUCAUGCAGGUGUAGCCGCUUGCCGUGUGGGUCUGUUCGACCUUUAAAAUUUUACAUGAUUUGAGUUCAAACCGGUGUGAGCCAGG